AGCGGAGGAAAAGAAACCAACAGGAUUGCCCUAGUAACGGCGAGUGAAGCGGCAACAGCUCAAAUUUGAAAUCUGGCUCUUUCAGAGUCCGAGUUGUAAUUUGCAGAGGGCGCUUUGGCUUUGGCAGCGGUCCAAGUUCCUUGGAACAGGACGUCACAGAGGGUGAGAAUCCCGUACGUGGUCGCUAGCUAUUGCCGUGUAAAGCCCCUUCGACGAGUCGAGUUGUUUGGGAAUGCAGCUCUAAAUGGGAGGUAAAUUUCUUCUAAAGCUAAAUAUUGGCCAGAGACCGAUAGCGCACAAGUAGAGUGAUCGAAAGAUGAAAAGCACUUUGGAAAGAGAGUCAAACAGCACGUGAAAUUGUUGAAAGGGAAGCGCUUGCAGCCAGACUUGCUUGCAGUUGCUCAUCCGGGCUUUUGCCCGGUGCACUCUUCUGCAGGCAGGCCAGCAUCAGUUUGGGCGGUGGGAUAAAGGUCUCUGUCAUGUACCUCUCUUCGGGGAGGCCUUAUAGGGGAGGCGACAUACCACCAGCCUAGACUGAGGUCCGCGCAUCUGCUAGGAUGCUGGCGUAAUGGCUGUAAGCGGCCCGUCUUGAAUUGCG
rnacentral:rRNA from 1 species